UACGUAGGGUGCGAGCGUUGUCCGGAAUUAUUGGGCGUAAAGAGCUUGUAGGCGGUUUGUCGCGUCUGCUGUGAAAUCUCAAGGCUCAACCUUGAGCUUGCAGUGGGUACGGGCAGACUAGAGUGUGGUAGGGGAGACUGGAAUUCCUGGUGUAGCGGUGAAAUGCGCAGAUAUCAGGAGGAACACCAAUAGCGAAGGCAGCUCGCUGGGACGGUACUGACGCUGAGGUGCGAAAGCGUGGGGAGCGAACAGG
rnacentral:rRNA from 1 species